CAGCAUCCACUCAUAGUCCUUGAACAGUUUGAGGCUGUUCUUCUGCUUUGCACUAGGAUGCAAAAGAAAAUAUCUCCCUGUGCUUCCUGUCUGUCUUUGAGGCAGACCAGAUUGAACUGGGGAGUACAUGU
rnacentral:snoRNA from 1 species